GAAGGAGAGACAAAGGAGAGAAGCGGUGGAAGAAAGAAGAGAAGAGAGGAGAGAAGAGAGCGAUACAUACACAUUUAGACAUAUAAGGUAGAUAUAUACAAGAAGAGUGUAGGAAGAAAACAAAAGAAAAAAGAGAAAAAGAGUGAGGCGGUGGAGAGAAGAGGGAAGGAGAAAAAAAGAGAAGAGAAGAGGAGGGGGGGAGUUGGAAGUUCCUCCGUUUCCAUCAAUCAUAAACUGCUUACACAGCUGAAUUUGCUCGGUGAAACAAUGUCUCCCAGGAAGGAAGACUUCGUCAUGGUACACUUACAGCAUGGAUGCGCACAUACACUGCUGCAUUCUGGUCGUCUGUAGAAAUUGUUGGGUUUGCAAACAAUGCAAAGAUUCAACUAUGUGAAAAAAGAGUAAGUGGAGAUAUUUAAGGAUGUUGUGGAUGAGACUAGAGGAAUUGGAGGACGUUAAUCCAUGAAAUAGAGGAAGGGGAUUUUGAUUUAGCAGUGCUUACGAGUCGCAGGGUCAAGAACCAGGCUUUCCCAAAGGACUUGGUUGGAUUUAAGUAGCUUAAGAAGUGGCGCAUUGUUAGUGAGGUAUUGUGAAGCAUUAUCAAUUCCUCCUCUUUAUUUUCGUGGUUUUUGAACAGAUUGGAGUGUAUUUCUUCUGUAUUUUUGCUGCUCUAAUUUACUGUACUUAGGAACAAUAUUUCUAUUCUAUCACCUUGCUGGAACUGUGUUGUUGCUCUCUAUUCUUCAGCUUUUUGGUGCACAGGAUACACAGUCAACUAAAAGAGUCCUAGAACGUGAGAUGAUGAAUCCUAUGUAGUUACAAAAAAGUGUAUAUUUUCCUUCUCCCCCUCCCUACAUUGUAAUCUGUUUCUCUGGUAUAGAUGGUGGUCUUGCGUGAUCGGACUGAGGUUGAACUAAGUUACUGCUAGCAUUUACAACCCUCUGACAUGUAAGAAUUGGCAGGAAGGGAAGUGAAAACAGCAACAAAUGUUGAACUAAGGAGAGCCAGGUAACAACGUGAGGCAGAAUUGGAUUAGUAAAUUUCUUUUCAUGUUUACUCCAACAUCAUACAUUUUCAUUUAUUGUUUAA